GCUUAACACAUGCAAGUCGAACGAGAAUCUACUGAAAGAGUUUUCGGACAAUGGAUGUAGAGGGAAGUGGCGCACGGGUGAGUAACGCGUGGAUAAUCUGCCCUUAUGAUUGGAAUAACAGUUGGAAACGGCUGCUAAUACAGGAUACGCUCAAAAUGAACUUUUUGAGGAAAGAUGGCCUCUGCUUGCAUGCUAUCGCAUAAGGAUGAGUCCGCGUCCCAUUAGCUUGUUGGCGGGGUAACGGCCCACCAAGGCAACGAUGGGUAGCCGAUUUGAGAGGAUGAUCGGCCACACUGGAACUGAAACACGGUCCAGACUCCUACGGGAGGCAGCAGUGGGGAAUAUUGCGCAAUGGGCGAAAGCCUGACGCAGCGACGCCGCGUGAGGGAUGAAGGUUUUCGGAUCGUAAACCUCUGUCAGAAGGGAAGAAACUACGUUGUGCUUAUCAGCAGCGUACUGACGGUACCUUCAAAGGAAGCACCGGCUAACUCCGUGCCAGCCGCCGCAGUAA
rnacentral:rRNA from 1 species